rnacentral:rRNA from 1 species
GACGAACGCUGGCGGUGUGCUUAACACAUGCAAGUCGAACGGUAAGGCCCUUUCGGGGGUACACGAGUGGCGAACGGGUGAGUAACACGUGAGUAACCUGCCCUCAUCUCUGGGAUAACAGUCGGAAACGGUUGCUAAUACUGGAUAUGAGCUUGCAAGGCAUCUUGUGGGUUGGAAAGAUUUUUUUUGGUUGGGGAUGGAGUCGCGGCCUAUCAGCUUGUUGGUGAGGUAGUGGCUCACCAAGGCUUCGACGGGUAGCCGGCCUGAGAGGGCGACCGGCCACAUUGGGGCUGAGAUACGGCCCAAACUCCUACGGGGGGCAGCAGUGGGGAAUAUUGCACAAUGGACGGAAGUCUGAUGCAGCAACGCCGCGUGCGGGAUGACGGCCUUCGGGUUGUAAACCGCUUUCAAUUGUGACGAAGCUUUUUUGUGACGGUAGCAGUAGAAGAAGCACCGGCUAACUACGUG